rnacentral:snRNA from 1 species
GCUUGCUUUGGCAGUGCACAUAAAAAAAUUGGAAUGACAGAGAUUACCCUGGCCCCUGCACAAAGGUGACAUCCAAAUUCAUGAUGGUCUCAUAUUUAU